UACAGAGGGUGCGAGCGUUAAUCGGAAUUACUGGGCGUAAAGCGCACGUAGGUGGCGACGUAAGUCGGGUGUGAAAGCCCCGGGCUCAACCUGGGAAUUGCAUUCGAGACUGCAUUGCUCGAGUACGGAAGAGGAAGGCGGAAUUCCCGGUGUAGCGGUGAAAUGCGUAGAUAUCGGGAGGAACAUCAGUGGCGAAGGCGGCCUUCUGGUCCAGUACUGACACUCAGACGCGAGAGCUAGGGGAGCGAACGGG
rnacentral:rRNA from 1 species